rnacentral:rRNA from 1 species
GAUGAACGCUGGCGGCGUGCCUAAUACAUGCAAGUUGAGCGAAGCGGGGAAGGGUGAGUAACACGUGGAUAACCACCUAUAAGACAGGGAUAACUUCCGGAGAACGGAGCUAAAACGGAUAAUUAUCGAUGGAUACGCGCUGCAUUAGAUAGUUGGUACGGUAACGGCUUACCAAGGCAACGAUGAAUAGCAGACCUGAGAGAGUGAACGGCCACACGGGAACUGAGCCACGGUCCAGACGCCUACGGGAGGCAGCAGUAGGGAAGCUGCCGCAAUGGGCGAAAGCCUGACGGAGCAACGCCGCGUGAGUGAAGAAGGUUUUCGGAUCGUAAAACUCUGUUGUUAGAGAAGCGGUAUCUAAACAGAAAGCCACGGCUAACUACGUGCCAGCAGCCGCGGUAAUUC